rnacentral:lncRNA from 1 species
ACAGCCUGGUUUGGGGUAGACAGUUCCGUUCCACGUUCCGGGGCGUUCCAAAGAUUCUCACCAUGCCAGAUUUCCAGCUGGACCCCACGUAGUGGAGGGGGCUUCGUGCAUGAGUAAGGAUGUGGUUGUUAUUCUGUUUCUCUGCCACGGAAUGUUCCUUCCGAGAAAGGCACUUUAAGUGGAUCAGAAAUGUUAUCUCAGAUGCUAGUUUCUCUGAGGAAGAAGCUGGUCUAGGGGGUGUGUUGGACGGAGUGUGUUGGAGAAUGACAUCUGGCACCUUUGCCUGAAUGAGGCCUCAGAACGGAUGACAAAACUCCAAAGUCAGACUAACUCUCAUCUGUUCACACUACAAUGCUAUGCUAUUUUCAAGGCCAAAAUACUGCUAUAAACUUAGUAACGCCCCCUGAACGUCCCAGAGCUGGGGAACCGGCCCCUAUUUUUGCCUACUACAUGUUUUGCGGCCCAGCAGAGUGUGAGGCGGCCAAGCCACCACACUGGUGAGUGUGGGUGCGAGGGAGGCCCCGGCCUCUGCUGGGCGGGGCUGCUCUGUGGUUUCUGGCGCAGGUGCAGCGUGAACAGGCUCGGGGGCGCUCAGAGGGGCUUCUGCAUUCUCCUGGCAGCUGCCACCGGGGUUAAGCAUGGCUAAUGAUGCUCUUUAUAACGGUCACACACCACCACUUGGGUGUUUUGCUGAUAAGAAGCCACAAUCUGGGACUCUCAGGAGCCCGGCGCACCCGGCACCCCCACCCCAGCCCCACAACAGGCAGGGGUGAUCCACACUGGGCCACACUGGGCGGAGGGUCCAGGUGGCCCUGCAGGGAAAGGGAAUGAGGCCAUGGACCAUCAUUUCCCUGGACCACAUGUGUCGCGAGGGAGGCCUGCUGCUGGCUGAGGACCCCUCUGCCCCCUGAGACCACGCCCCCUCCAUAUCCCGUGCAAACCCCAUCCAGG